UACGUAGGGAGCAAGCGUUGUCCGGAAUCAUUGGGCGUAAAGCGCGCGUAGGUGGCCUCAUAAGUCCGCUGUGAAGGUCAAAGGCUCAACCUUUGAAAGCCGGUGGAUACUGUGAGGCUAGAGUACGGAAGAGGCGAGUGGAAUUCCUGGUGUAGCGGUGGAAUGCGCAGAUAUCAGGAGGAACACCAAUAGCGAAGGCAGCUCGCUGGGACGUUACUGACACUGAGGCGCGAAAGCGUGGGGAGCGAACAGG
rnacentral:rRNA from 1 species